rnacentral:rRNA from 1 species
UUAGAGUCUUAUCCUGGCUCAGGAUGAACGCCGGCGGUGUGCCUAAUACAUGCAAGUCGUACGCACUGGCCCAACUGAUUGAUGGUGCUUGCACCGGAUUGACGAUGGAUCACCAGUGAGUGGCGGACGGGUGAGUAACACGUAGGUAACCUGCCCCGGAGCGGGGGAUAACAUUUGGAAACAGAUGCUAAUACCGCAUAACAACAAAAGCCACAUGGCUUUUGUUUGAAAGAUGGCUUUGGCUAUCACUCUGGGAUGGACCUGCGGUGCAUUAGCUAGUUGGUAGGUAACGGCUUACCAAGGCGAUGAUGCAUAGCCGAGUUGAGAGACUGAUCGGCCACAAUGGAACUGAGACACGGUCCAUACUCCUACGGGAGGCAGCAGUAGGGAAUCUUCCACAAUGGGCGCAAGCCUGAUGGAGCAACACCGCGUGAGUGAAGAAGGGUUUCGGCUCGUAAAACUCUGUUGUUGGAGAAGAACGUGCGUGAGAGUAACUGUUCACGCAGUGACGGUAUCCAACCAGAAAGUCACGGCUAACUACGUGCCAGCAGCCGCGGUAAUACGUAGGUGGCAAGCGUUAUCCGGAUUUAUUGGGCGUAAAGCGAGCGCAGGCGGUUGCUUAGGUCUGAUGUGAAAGCCUUCGGCUUAACCGAAGAAGUGCAUCGGAAACCGGGCGACUUGAGUGCAGAAGAGGACAGUGGAACUCCAUGUGUAGCGGUGGAAUGCGUAGAUAUAUGGAAGAACACCAGUGGCGAAGGCGUCUGUCUGGUCUGCAACUGACGCUGAGGCUCGAAAGCAUGGGUAGCGAACAGGAUUAGAUACCCUGGUAGUCCAUGCCGUAAACGAUGAGUGCUAGGUGUUGGAGGGUUUCCGCCCUUCAGUGCCGGAGCUAACGCAUUAAGCACUCCGCCUGGGGAGUACGACCGCAAGGUUGAAACUCAAAGGAAUUGACGGGGGCCCGCACAAGCGGUGGAGCAUGUGGUUUAAUUCGAAGCUACGCGAAGAACCUUACCAGGUCUUGACAUCUUGCGCUAACCUUAGAGAUAAGGCGUUCCCUUCGGGGACGCAAUGACAGGUGGUGCAUGGUCGUCGUCAGCUCGUGUCGUGAGAUGUUGGGUUAAGUCCCGCAACGAGCGCAACCCUUGUUACUAGUUGCCAGCAUUAAGUUGGGCACUCUAGUGAGACUGCCGGUGACAAACCGGAGGAAGGUGGGGACGACGUCAGAUCAUCAUGCCCCUUAUGACCUGGGCUACACACGUGCUACAAUGGACGGUACAACGAGUCGCAAACUCGCGAGAGUAAGCUAAUCUCUUAAAGCCGUUCUCAGUUCGGACUGUAGGCUGCAACUCGCCUACACGAAGUCGGAAUCGCUAGUAAUCGCGGAUCAGCAUGCCGCGGUGAAUACGUUCCCGGGCCUUGCACACACCGCCCGUCA